UGAGAGGUGUAGGAUAAGUGGGAGCU
rnacentral:snRNA from 1 species